rnacentral:ncRNA from 1 species
CACAGUUUACUAAACUACAAAUGGCAAGAUUGAAAUUGUUUGUUAUCUGUUUGAUCGGGCAAAAACGCAGCAAUGGCGUAAGACGUAAUGCUCAAUCAAACAAUUUAUGGGCUGUGAGUUGUAGUUUACUGGAUUGCGGAAAAUCUGUACUGAUUUAUUACAGAGUCUCCAAUAAAGAAUGCUGUAUUUGAAUGAAAUUCAGACUCGCCGACAAAUAGGCGCCUCUAUACAAACGAUAGCCGUGAGGCUGGCGGCUUUGUAAAAGACUCGAGGCCAUCGGUAACCAGUAACUCAUCUCUUUUACUUACAGCUCUAUACCAA